GGGGGUUUAGGGGGGGUGGGGGUAGAAGAAAAGGAAGGGAAGAGGAAGGUGAAGUGGAGACUAUGAAGUCCACAUGCAAGAAAGUGGAAAUUUUUGUAAGAAAAAAAAAGUUGAAAAAACGAGUGAAAUUUAUUGGUACAUUUAUUAUUUUCUUGCAUUUGCAGCCUCCAACUUAUUCCAAUUUAUUGUUCUCCUUUCCACCAGCCCCC
rnacentral:lncRNA from 1 species